rnacentral:rRNA from 1 species
AGAGUUUGAUCCUGGCUCAGAACGAACGCUGGCGGCAGGCUUAACACAUGCAAGUCGAACGCGUGUAGCAAUACACGAGUGGCGCACGGGUGAGUAACGCGUGGAUAUCUGCCUUUGGUUCGGAAUAACCCCGGGAAACUGGGGCUAAUACCGGAUGGUUCCUUCGGGAUAAAGAUUUAUCGCCAAAAGAUGAGUCCGCGUACGAUUAGCUAGUUGGUGAGGUAAUGGCUCACCAAGGCGACGAUCGUUAGCUGGUCUGAGAGGACGAUCAGCCACACUGGGACUGAGACACGGCCCAGACUCCUACGGGAGGCAGCAGUGGGGAAUAUUGGACAAUGGGGGCAACCCUGAUCCAGCCAUGCCGCGUGAGAGAUGAAGGCCUUCGGGUUGUAAAGCUCUUUUGGCGGGGACGAUGAUGACGGUACCCGCAGAAUAAGCCCCGGCUAACUUCGUG